AAUUGGAGUGAUGAAACUUUUACCUUAGGUGGAUGCAACAGACUGUUUUGGUCACUUACUGCAUCUGCCAGUGCUGGGGUUUGUCAUAGUUACACUGACCAUGU
rnacentral:snoRNA from 1 species